AUGUACGGUGUAUAACCUAUGAGGCUAAUUUGAAUAUUAAUACAUUUCUUCUUUUCUUUUCUUAUUGCUUCUUCAACAGCUGUGUUGUUCUUGACACCUUGGGGACUUUUCUGUUCUUACCUACAGAUUGUGUUAUACAGGAAUUUACAAGAAGAAGCAGUAAGAAAAGAAGAAAUGUAUUAAUAUUGGAAUUAGUCUCAUAGGUUACACACCGUACACAA